rnacentral:tRNA from 1 species
CAAUCAAUAUAGUUUAAUAAACAAUUCAUUUACACUGAAAAAAUCUCACAAAAUCAU